GGGAAGAAGCUUCAAAUUUGAAUCUGGUGGCCUCAGGUCAUCCGAGUUGUAAUCUAUCGAAGUGUUUUCCGUGCUGGCUCAUGUACAAGUCCCUUGGAACAGGGCGUCAUAGAGGGUGAGAAUCCCGUCCUUGACAUGAACUACCAGUGCUCUGUGAUACAUUUUCAACGAGUCGAGUUGUUUGGGAAUGCAGCUCAAAAUGGGUGGUAAAUUCCAUCUAAAGCUAAAUAUUGGCGAGAGACCGAUAGCGAACAAGUACCGUGAGGGAAAGAUGAAAAGCACUUUGGAAAGAGAGUUAAACAGUAUGUGAAAUUGUUAAAAGGGAAACGAUUGAAGUCAGUCGUGCUCUUUGGAUUCAGCCGGUUCUGCCGGUGUACUUCCUUUGAGUGGGGUCAACAUCAGUUUUGAUCGCUGGAUAAAGGCUGGAGGAACGUAGUACCCUCGGGUAAACUUAUAGCCUCCUGUCACAUACAGUGGUUGGGACUGAGGAACGCAGCACGCCUUUAUGGCCGGGAUUCGUCCACGUACGUGCUUAGGAUGUUGACAUAAUGGCUUUAAACGACCCGUCU
rnacentral:rRNA from 1 species